GCCCGGAUGGUGAAAUAGGUAGACACAAGGGACUUAAAAUCCCUCGGGCUUAAUCGCUCAUGCCGGUUCGAUUCCGGCUCCGGGCACCA
rnacentral:tRNA from 2 species